GGCAAACAAGGAUUUGCCUGGGAAUUUGGGGUGGCUUUUUUUGCUGCCCCCUGCAAAGUGCCGCCCAAGGCAGAUGCCUUAUUUGCCUCGUGUAAGAUACAUCCCUGCAUAGUUACAUAGUUAUCCUUUUUCUCACUCAGAUCUUCUUCUUGCCCUACACGAACCUCAGCUUAAUGCAGCUCUAAUCUAGAUUUGGUUGGGAAGCUGACAUUAAUAACUUUACUAUUAGCUACCUAAUGGAUGUGACCCUCACACCCCUCGCUCAGUUUACGCAUCAGAUUAGGACCCCCCUUUCCCUACACUCACUCCCUGUUUCCCCAUUUCCAGUACCCUGUUAUGACCUUCCAGGUCUUCCAGGUCUUGUUAGGUCAUAUCUCUUAAAUUUUCAAUGGUCCUGCACAGACAUUUCAUGUUGUUAUACCUACUAUCUAAUAUCUUAAUUGUUAUUUGAGACUUUUUUCAUAGCAAUAUAUUGAACUGUAAUGGGUAUUUCCCUACCUCCUAACCUUAAUCACCCUUACCCUAUGCCAGGGGUAGGCAACCUUUUAGCAGCACUGUGCCGAUAUAGGAUUGUGAUGUCCCGUAGUGUGUCGGUCCUAUUUUUUUUAAAUUGAGG